CUUUCUCCGCCGGCGACCGGCGCACGGGUGAGUAACACGUAUGCAACCUGCCCCUGUCAGGGGGACAACCCGCCGAAAGGCGGGCUAAACCCGCGUACAUGCCACCGGGGCAUCCCGGAGGCAGGGAAGGCUUCGGCCGGACAGGGAUGGGCAUGCGGCGCAUUAGGCAGUAGGCGGGGUAACGGCCCACCUAACCGACGAUGCGUAGGGGUUCUGAGAGGAAGGUCCCCCACACUGGUACUGAGACACGGCCAGACUCCUACGGAAGGCAGCAG
rnacentral:rRNA from 1 species